UUUUAGUUCAACCUAAAGUAACUNNUUAUUNUCUAAUAAUUAUUCUNNNCCCCUACUUUAGAGUUAAUCAAAUGAGGUACAGCCCAUUUGACAUAGGAUACAACCUUUACUAACGGGUNNAAACCCCCCCCACACCUUAAAGUAGGCCUAAGAGCAGCCACCUUUUAAAAAGCGUCAAAGCUUAANNNCCUUGUGUNAUACUAAUUCAAAAACCCACAUUAACCCCUUUAACCAUAUUGAGAACUUCUAUAACCCUAUAGAACCUUUUAUGCUAAAACUAGUAACAAGAGAAAACCNNNCUCUCCCAAUGCAAACAUAAGCCAGCAAGAACCUAUCACUGGCAAUUAACAGNCCUUAAAUAAAAGUAGCAACUUCACUAGAAAACCCUACUCCUNCCGACUGUUAACCUAACACUAGAGCAUUUCAAGAAAGAUUAAAAGAAAAAGAAGGAACUCGGCAAACUCCAGUCCCGCCUGUUUACCAAAAACAUCGCCUCUUGCUUNCCCAUAAGAGGUCUAACCUGCCCAGUGACCCUGUUCAACGGCCGCGGUAUCCUAACCGUGCGAAGGUAGCGUAAUCACUUGUUUUCCAAAUAAAGACCUGUAUGAAAGGUAAAACGAGGACUAAGCUGUCUCCUUUUUUUAAUCAGUGAACCUAAUCUCCCCGUGAAGAAGCGGGGAUCUUAAUAUAAGACGAGAAGACCCUAUGGAGCUUAAAACAUCAUAACACUUGCCACCCAUCUUUAUUUAUNNNNNAAUAUUUCUAAUCGGCAUCCUGAUUUUAUGUUUUUGGUUGGGGUGACCGCGGAGAAAACCUCAUCCUCCGCAAUGAAAGAGGCNUUCCUCCUCUAAACAAUAAGUUACAACUUUAUGUAUCAACUAAUUGACAUUCAUUGACCCAAUAAAUUGAUUAAUGAACCAAGUUACCCUAGGGAUAACAGCGCAAUCCACNUUUAAGAGCUCCUAUCGACAAGUGGGCUUACGACCUCGAUGUUGGAUCGGGAUAUCCUNUGUGGUGCAGCCGCUACUAANUGGUUCGUUUGUUCAACGAUUAAAAUCCCACGUGAUCUGAGUUCAGACCGGAGUAAUCCAGGUCAGUUUCUAUCUAUCAAGCGCUAAUUUCAGUACGAAAGGACCAAAAUAGCAUGGCCAAUAAUACCUGCAAGCCAUACUUAAAUUAUUUUAGCCUCAAACUCAAAAGAUAACUAACCUCCCCCCCCCCU
rnacentral:rRNA from 1 species